rnacentral:rRNA from 1 species
GUCCAUACUGUAAAUUAUGAAUGCUGUAAUUUAAUGGUAAUUUGUAAAAAUUACUUUAGAUUUUAAGCUAACGCGAUAAGCAUUCCGCCUGAGAAGUACGAUCGCAAGGUUGGAACUCAAAGGAAUUGACGGGGGCCUAACACUAGUGGUGGAUCAUGUGAUUUAAUGCGAUAAUCCGCGCAAAAUCUUACCAAUCUUUGACAUGAAAUUUUGUAUUUUAUUAUAAAAAGUAAUAAGUAUUUUUUUCACAGGUGUUGCACGACUGUCGU